UACGUAGGGUGCAAGCGUUGUCCGGAAUUAUUGGGCGUAAAGAGCUUGUAGGCGGUUUGUCGCGUCUGCUGUGAAAUUUCGGGGCUCAACCCCGAACUUGCAGUGGGUACGGGCAGACUAGAGUGUGGUAGGGGAGGCUGGAAUUCCUGGUGUAGCGGUGAAAUGCGCAGAUAUCAGGAGGAACACCGAUGGCGAAGGCAGGUCUCUGGGCCAUAACUGACGCUGAGAAGCGAAAGCGUGGGGAGCGAACAGG
rnacentral:rRNA from 1 species